UACGAAGGGGACUAGCGUUGUUCGGAAUCACUGGGCGUAAAGCGCACGUAGGCGGAUUCGUAAGUUAGGGGUGAAAUCCCGGGGCUCAACCUCGGAACUGCCUUUGAUACUGCGGGUCUCGAGUCCGAUAGAGGUGGGUGGAAUUCCUAGUGUAGAGGUGAAAUUCGUAGAUAUUAGGAAGAACACCGGUGGCGAAGGCGGCCCACUGGCUCGAUACUGACGCUGAGGUGCGAAAGCGUGGGGAGCAAACAGGGAU
rnacentral:rRNA from 1 species